UAAGGCUAUGGGUUAGUAUAAAACAGGGGAAUAAAGUUAAACAAAUUUUAAAUAUUAAAAAGUUGAAAAAUAUUAAGCAUAAAGUGCACUAACAAACAAGUAACAGACAAGAGACAAAGUGACAAGUGACAAAGUGAUGAAUUGCAGUUAAAGUGGCAUGUGCAGUGUGAGGGGGAGUGACCGGUGGAGUGUUAUAGUCAGGCAGUGGGGGACCGGGCUCUGUUGAUGAGCCCGACUGCCGACGGGAAGAAACUGUUCGUGUGGCGGGAGGUCUUAGUCCUGAUGGACCUCAGCCUCCUGCCAGAUGGAAGGGGCACAAACAGUUUUUGUCCGGGGUGAGAGGGGUCGGCCGCGAUCUUUUUAGCUCGCUUCAGAGACCUGGAAGCGAACAAGUCCUCCAGGGACGGCAGAUUGCAGCCGAUCACCCUCUCUGCAGAGCGGAUGACACGCUGAAGCCUGCCCGCAGAGAAUAUACAAAGAAUAUUUGUAUAUUGUAUUUGAACGUUUGUAAGAGUGACUUCUCACUAACUCCGACCAAGUUAACUACUCAGGCAACAGCACUCGAUAAAAUAUUUGAACCCAGUUAACGCAACUUUGUUUAAGUCUUCCGAAAGUAACCAAAAUUGACCCUGGAAACGAAACCGCCACCAGCUGCAGUAAGUUAGAUCGGAGAAAGCGAGACGCAUUGGAAGUAAAACAAACAGACGCUCGACAUACAGCGGAGAACUGUGCAGAGGAUUUCCUCCACGUGUCAAACAGAAGGGGGGUGAGUGGCAAACAGACCACUUAAAACACUGCUAUUCUAAACUAGCUGCUAGGCUAAGCUAGCUGCUAUUCUAAGCUAGCUGCUAGGCUACUUGCAUCUCAACAUCUAACGUCACCCUGCGCAAAACUCCUGGCUAAAUGUCGGCAGAUUGAUGGCACUUCAAAUACAGCCGUCAAAUAAUUG
ensembl:lncRNA